GUGUGCGUGCGUGCAUUGUAAUUGUUUUGCAGAUUGAGUGGAAAGCGACGAUAGGCAUAACGCGGUAGAGAUUCGCGCAUUUUGUUAUAUAAUGGGUUGAAAAAACUUUGAUCUCGCAAGGUUAUCACAAAAAUGAAGUGACAAAAAUUCUCUCCAGGGCGUGUGUUUAAAAUCUAAAAUCUACAACUAGUGAUGAUAAUACUGCUAUGCCAGUCAUUUGAUAUGGAACUUCUCUAUGCUACCUGGUUGACUAUGGGUGUACUCACUGGUUGAGAGUUUUGGUUAUGCUGAGUAUUCAGAGGUAUGGGUCUCCCAGAAUUACUGCAAUUAUCUGUAUGAGAAAAAUGAUGUACAAGCUGCAAAGAUGAAUCCUCUUGAGUGUUUGUCUUCUUUUCACUACAAUGAACUCCAAUACUGUAUGUAUGGUCAGGUUUCAAUUUUCUUGCAUUUUUCUCAGGCACAAGUUCGCUAUUACAAGCUGAAGGUUCUAAUUGUAACGUAUCACCAAGCAUGUUAGUGCUACGACCUGAGCUGUACGUGUGAUCAGAUUCGAUAUUGGGCUUGUUAGAAUCAGAUUGAAUCACUGAUGGUUUUUGACUGGAAUGUGAAGAUUUUACUUUCCUUUUACAAAGGCGAGAUUUUUUAGCAUGUGACCAAUAUGUGUGAUCUGGUUGUAACUGAUUUUUCUCAAUGCUAUUUGAAUGACACUUACUUUUGUUGCCAAAUGCAAGUGGGUUCGUUUCAUUCCCAUCAUUCAACUCCUGGCUGGCAUUGAAACAAUAUGUAUGAUCAGGUUUAUACUGUUGAUCAAAACUACAGUUACCUUUGGGCGAUACUGACUGUUCAUCAACCUGUUUUGUACCUGAGCAGCUUCUUGCACCUUCACUCGAAGGAACAGCUUUCAAUGAACAGCUUGAUUUUUGUUGAUCAGAAUUUUGUUUUGUGUGCAAUUCAAUAUGUUUGAUAAGUUCAUUUGAUUUUGUAAAUAUUUUUUUACAAUAUCCACAUUUAAAAGGAUUUUUCGUCAUGUGGCUUCCUGAAUGAUUUCCUAAAUGUGUACCUAAAUUACUCGAUGAUGUAAAAGACUUUUCACAAAGGUUACAUUGGAACAGUUUCUCAUCAGAAUGUACCCUCAUGUGUCUGCUUAGGUUGCUAUUAUGUGCAAAAAGUUUUUGACAAAAAGUGCAUUCAUAUAAGAAGUGUAUCUUUAAAUUCUUUGAAAGACCUUUGGAAUAAAAAAAUGGCUUCAAAAAACAUUUUUUACCAGAA